rnacentral:rRNA from 1 species
UACAGAGGUCUCAAGCGUUGUUCGGAUUCAUUGGGCGUAAAGGGUGCGUAGGCGGCGCGGUAAGUCGGGUGUGAAAUUUCGAGGCUUAACUUCGAAACUGCAUUCGAUACUGCCGUGCUAGAGGACUGGAGAGGAGACUGGAAUUUACGGUGUAGCGGUGAAAUGCGUAGAUAUCGUAAGGAAGACCAGUGGCGAAGGCGGGUCUCUGGACAGUGCCUGACGCUGAGGCACGAAGGCCAGGGGAGCAAACAGG